AGAGCUUGAUCAUGGCUCAGGAUGAACGCUAGCGGCAGGCUUAACACAUGCAAGUCGAGGGGCAUCGCGGGGGUAGCAAUACACCUGGCGGCGACCGGCGGAAGGGUGCGUAACGCGUGAGCAACAUGCCCGUCACAGGGGGAUAACAGUUGGAAACGACUCCUAAUACCCCGUAACAUCAGGGGAGGCAUCUCCUUUGGUUGAAAGUUUCGGCGGUGACGGAUUGGCUCGCGUGACAUUAGCUAGUUGGAGUGGUAACGGCACACCAAGGCGACGAUGUCUAGGGGUUCUGAGAGGAAGGUCCCCCACACUGGAACUGAGACACGGUCCAGACUCCUACGGGAGGCAGCAGUGAGGAAUAUUGGUCAAUGGGCGGAAGCCUGAACCAGCCAUGCCGCGUGAAGGAAUAAGGUCCUAUGGAUCGUAAACUUCUUUUGUACGGGAGCAAUAAGGGCGUCGUGACGUCCGAUGAGAGUACCGUACGAAUAAGCAUCGGCUAACUCCGUGCCAGCAGCCGCGGUAAUACGGAGGAUGCGAGCGUUAUCCGGAUUUAUUGGGUUUAAAGGGUGCGUAGGCUGUUUGUCAAGUCAGGGGUGAAAUACCUGGGCUCAACCGAGGAAUUGCCUUUGAUACUGGCAGGCUUGAAUACUGUUGCCGUGGGAGGAAUGAGUAGUGUAGCGGUGAAAUGCAUAGAUAUUACUCAGAACACCGAUUGCGAAGGCAUCUCACGAAACAGCGAUUGACGCUGAGGCACGAAAGCGUGGGGAUCAAACAGGAUUAGAUACCCUGGUAGUCCACGCAGUAAACGAUGAUAACUAACCGUUGGCGAUAGACAGUCAGUGGCCAAGCGAAAGCGAUAAGUUAUCCACCUGGGGAGUACGACCGCAAGGUUGAAACUCAAAGGAAUUGACGGGGGCCCGCACAAGCGGAGGAACAUGUGGUUUAAUUCGAUGAUACGCGAGGAACCUUACCCGGGCUCGAACGGCAAGCGAAGAGAUCCAGAGAUGGUGACGCCCUUCGGGGCGCUUGUCGAGGUGCUGCAUGGUUGUCGUCAGCUCGUGCCGUGAGGUGUCGGCUCAAGUGCCAUAACGAGCGCAACCCUUGUCACUAGUUACCAACAGGUAAAGCUGGGGACUCUAGCGAGACUGCCACCGCAAGGUGAGAGGAAGGAGGGGAUGACGUCAAAUCAGCACGGCCCUUACGUCCGGGGCGACACACGUGUUACAAUGGUGACCACAGAGGGAAGCCACCCAGCGAUGGGGAGCGGAUCUCGAAAAGUCAUCUCAGUUCGGACUGGAGUCUGCAACCCGACUCCACGAAGUUGGAUUCGCUAGUAAUCGCGCAUCAGCCAUGGCGCGGUGAAUACGUUCCCGGGCCUUGUACACACCGCCCGUCAAGCCAUGAAAGCUGGGGGCGCCUGAAGUCCGCGACCGUAAGGAGCGGCCUAAGGCGAAACCGGUAAUUGGGGCUAAGUCGUAACAAGGUAGCCGUACCGGAAGGUGUGGCUGGAACACCUCCUU
rnacentral:rRNA from 1 species